UACGGGGGGGGGCAAGCGUUGUUCGGAAUUACUGGGCGUAAAGGGCUCGUAGGCGGCCAACUAAGUCGGACGUGAAAUCCCUCGGCUCAACCGGGGAACUGCGUCCGAUACUGGCGGGCUUGAAUUCGGGAGAGGGAUGUGGAAUUCCAGGUGUAGCGGUGAAAUGCGUAGAUAUCUGGAGGAACACCGGUGGCGAAGGCGGCAUCCUGGACCGACAUUGACGCUGAGGCGCGAAAGCCAGGGGAGCAAACGGGG
rnacentral:rRNA from 1 species